rnacentral:lncRNA from 1 species
CUCAAAUGUAGCUACUGUUCCUUCCGCAAUGCAGUUGCAAAUAUGCAGCCCCUCCAACUCCAGGGAAUUUAUUUAAGCCAUUUUGCUUCUCUAUAGCAUUUAUCUUCCUGCAGAAAUCACAGCAGAUUAAAUGGCUGUUCUCUUCUGAUGACUGUUUUCACUAGAAAGCUAGGAUUUUAGAGCAGAUAAGCCCAUGGCAGCACUUCCUUGCACACCUCUUGCUGCUUACACGUCUCCUUGGGACCUGGUGGUCCAACAUCACCUCAUGGAUUUCUUUUGAUGUACACAGCCUCUGUGGCUUUUUUGGGAUGUGCUCAGGACUUUGGGCUGCCUGGCUGAUCUAUUCUGCGUUAAAUCACUGCAGAGGGACCCUACAGCACUGACUGCGGCCAGGGCUAUCCCAAUCCCUGCUCCAAAACCAGCCCAGGGGUGGGAAGAGGAGAAGGAGGAGGAAGAGUGGGAGGAGGAGGAAGAGGAGGAGGAGGAGGCAGCUGUGUUUGAAAGCAUUCCCAAGCCAGGCACGGUGGAGGCGAGCACCUCAGCAGCAGGCUGUGACGCUGGCUGCACCAACAGGAAUUAUCUCCGGCCUCUGCAAGCGCUGUGCUCAGCCAAGCGUGAGGAGCUUUGGCUCCCGGUGCACAUACUUGCAGCAGGGACAUCGGCAUCUGGCUGAACCUGAAAGCUCAUCAUCCUCGCUGGAGGAAGGAGCUCUCCCCCAGGACCUGGGUUUCAGGAUGGAGCAGCAGCUACACCCUGCGAGAACGUCACUUGGCUGCUGCCAGAGCAAAAGCGAAGGGGUUCAGCCAUCUCGCCACCGAGACACUGCAAUUACUGAGCUACUGUAAAACAAGAUCUGCCAAGGAUAUUACAGCUGCUUUUCCCUCGUAAAGUCAAGGGUGAAGAAGCUGCGGGAACAUGGCUUGUGGCCAGGAGCCUGAUAAAGAUGCAAGGAAAAGCGACCAUUCCCAGGGGAAUUAACCUCCGUGGCCACUUGCUGCAGCUCUGCUUGUCUGAAUCAUAGAUGCUGCUGCAGCAUUCGUGCUGCACGACUGCAGAAGCUGCUCUUCCUCAUGGCCUGGAUCACUGGGAGGGGGUUAUUGCUUAUCUAAGAUGGUCUGUUCAAAGCAGAGCAGCAGUUGGUAUAUGGAAAAAAUUGCUGCUGCUGACUGGGGACCUUUGAUUAAGAUUUUAACACCUGCUAAGGAACCUGUCUUCAUGCCCAACAGGACAGAGCAGCCAGAGCUGGUGGGGAGCUUGCAGGAAGGAGAUGAGCUCUCCUGCCCUCCCCAAAGGCUGUUGUGUUUGUGCCUUUGUGUCUAACACUUCUUCGGGAUGGAGCACGGCGAUGAAGUGCUCUGUGCUCUCAGCCUUGGGAGGGGGCUUGGUAAAAGACAGGACAGGAUUUGGGGCCUGGCAGAGCUCCGCUGCUCUCCCAGGGUCCGUGUGUGGCCGGCAGGAAGCAGUGUAAUUGGCCAAGUAUGCACAAGACAAGUGCAGCACUUGGGGUGGCGAGCGACUUGAAGGGCAAAAUGUCCAAAAAAGCAGAGCUUUUGGACACUGAGCUCCAGCCUCUGCCAGUACAGCCUUGGCUGCUUCCAGGGCCACUUUACCCAAGCAGCGCUGGCUUUCUGCUUGGAGGGCAGAGAGAACAGGUUGUGAUAUAAAAUAUUUACUUAUUGCAAUUUAUUAUUUAUUGAGUCGAACCUAUUGCAACUCUCUAAGUGGAAGCAAAAGUAUCCCAUGUCUUAUCUUCUGCCAAAGACUUUCUUGCCAUGUCUGUGAUCCACUUGUAUUUAGAUCAAUCUUUGACUAUGCACUAAUGUUCAUUUCAAAUAAGAAUAAAUCAUGUUUUACAAGGCUUCA